GUGCUCAUUUUGGCAGCACAUAUACUAAAAUUGGAAUGAUAUAGAGAAGACUAGCAUGGCUCCUGCACAAGGAUGACAUGCAAAUUCAUGAAAAGGAGGAACAAAGU
rfam:Canis lupus familiaris chromosome 2, whole genome shotgun sequence.